rnacentral:rRNA from 1 species
CUACGGGUUGCACCAGUGGGGAAUAUUGCACAAUGGAGGAAACUCUGAUGCAGCAACGCCGCGUGGAGGAUGACACUUUUCGGAGCGUAAACUCCUUUUAUAUAGGAAGAAGAUGACGGUACUAUAUGAAUAAGCGCCGGCUAACUCCGUGCCAGCAGCCGCAGUAAUACGGAGGGCGCAAGCGUUACUCGGAAUCACUGGGCGUAAAGAGCGCGUAGGCCGAUUAAAAAGUCAGAAGUGAAAUCCUAUAGCUUAACUAUAGAACUGCUUCUGAAACUCUUAAUCUAGAAUAUGGGAGAGGUAGAUGGAAUUUCUGGUGUAGGGGUAAAAUCCGUAGAGAUCAGAAGGAAUACCGAUUGCGAAGGCGAUCUACUAGAACAUUAUUGACGCUGAGACGCGAAAGCGUGGGGAGCAAACAGGAUUAGAUACCCUCGUAGUC